AGACUUCUAGCUUUGCGUAGUCAUACUUGCAUGAAUAUGCGUGACAUCCAUGACAGGGAAAAAUUAAGGAUGUCCUCGGUACCUCAGAUAGGCCUUCUCGUGGCAACUUUUUCCUUGAGGGGUGUGACAGGC
ensembl:snoRNA SNORA64 small nucleolar RNA SNORA64/SNORA10 family